AUACGGAGGGUGCAAGCGUUACUCGGAAUCACUGGGCGUAAAGCGCGUGCAGGCGGGCUGAUAAGUUGGAUGUGAAAGCCUACGGCUCAACCGUAGAACUGCAUCCAAAACUGUCAGUCUAGAGUCUGGGAGGGGAAGAUGGAAUUAGUUGUGUAGGGGUAAAAUCCGUAGAGAUAACUAGGAAUACCAAAAGCGAAGGCAAUCUUCUGGAACACUACUGACGCUGAGGCGCGAAAGCGUGGGGAGCGAACAGGAUUAGAAACCCCAGUAGUCC
rnacentral:rRNA from 1 species